CUCACUUGGAAUCUGCUCCAGGACUCCAACUUCUUGUCUGACGGAGACCAGGAAAGGGUGGGAGACAAGGAAUAAAGGUUUCAGAGUAGCAGCCGUGUUAGUCUGUAUCCGCAAAAAGAAGAACAGGAGUACUUGUGGCAAGCAGCAGCAAUGACAAUACUCCUGCUUUCCAAGGAAGGGCUUGAGAACCCACUUAUUAGCACCUAAUGAAGCAGCACAUUCUUCAGUGUUCUUCCCCUCUCAAAACAGAAGCUCUGGAAGUUGCCAUAACAGAAAGGAGCUCUCCGUAUCAGCACUUCUCAUGCACCUCAGAGAUUGUUCCCACCCAGGAACAGUGCUCCAAUGCCAAUGAAAAGAAGUAUACCACCCUACCCUGCUUGCCAAGGGACAGCUGCUGCAAGUAUGAAAUCCCCACUGUUUUGCAAAGCAGUAGCAACAUUGUUUAAGAAGACAAGAGUUUAAGGAUGAAAGAAUGAGAAUACCCUUCCAUUUAGUAGCUAUUAUUAUUGUUCAUUGUAAAGAACAAUCUUCUACAGCCCAAGUUGGCAAAACCUGUGUGGAAAGUUCAAUUUGAAGCAAGGAGCAGCACUGACCUUACAUAAUCACUGAAGAAUAGCCUUCUCAAUAAUUUCACGUUACAGGAACAAAGCUGUAGUCCUAUUGGUGCGAGAGAGUGUUUACACUGCAAACCACUAUAGUUCCUUACAACAACAACAAAAAUUUUUUCCAUGCUGUAAGAUUACACAAGGUUCAAAUUUCAUACCAUUCAACUUGUCUGUCAAAAUUCACCAUCUUUUGAAGGGCAGGGAAACCUGAGUGUUCACCAGCUACUGUUUAUUCAUAAUUCUCACAACUCUCCAAAUGAAAAUAUGAAAAUUUGGGGGGGGGGGGGGGGGAAUUCUCUUAUUUCAGGACUAACUCCACGUUUUCCAUCCUUACAGGAUAAGGAACACAUAGGUAGGCAGCAAGUAAGACGUAUACUUUCUCACUCAAAGAAGAGCGUACUAAAGAUGAGGUACUACUGGCAAGGCCAUACGAGCACGGCUAUGCAUCUGGAUUUCCAAAGGAAUAUUGGGAGAACGGUUUCUCUAGCUCACCAGUAUUUUCUGAAAAUCAAUUGCACAGCUCCUCUGAUGAACUAUCUUUAAAACACACUGGGGGGAGGGAGAGGGCGGUGCAUGGAGAGACUUUCGGUAGCAUUGCCCUCAUGAGCAGUCCUGAAAUGUACACAAUUCAUUUUGAAAUCAAGUAGAUAUAGCAGACAACAGGCUGAUUUCAAAAUAGCUCAGAAAGAAUGAAAUGAAAUCAUGACAAACACACCCAGCUAUGACUACCAUGAUAGAUGUAUUAGAAGUGCAAUUAAGAUAUUUCAUUUACGUCCGCAGUGAAACCAUUACCUGGUAUGUAAAUUUCACAGCUUCAUAGCAACUAGCCAAUUAGCUGAGAAGUCAGAGAAUUUCCUGCCCUUUCCCCCAUUAGCAUUCUGCACACUGUGCGCUCCUGCUAGAUCUGCUAUUCUUACACCAAGCCCUUUGACCGCUUGACGUGGGCGCUGGGAAAAACCAACUCUUUUAGAUACACACAGUGGACUUUCAUCACUUACGCUUACACUACUCCUUCAAAUCGGCAUUUUAAAUACAUGGUCUCUGUGUCUCUAUUCUUCCCCUCCCUCCACAUACAUGCCCUCAAAAGAUACUCCACCAUUUAUUUACAGGCAUUUCUAUACCGUAGUAUUCAAGGGCCUAUUGAUUUAUGGCACAAUCCCAGAUCUGGACCACGCUUAUAUUUAAUUUUUCUCAAAGAUGCGGGACAAUCAACUGAAAACUGAUUAGUUUUAAAUCAUUGCAUGCUCACUGGUAACACUCCUGGGAUGAGGAAGUUUAAGUCUGAGAAAUUUUAAUUGCAAAUUAUUUGUCCCUAAGAUGUUCCAGACUCUAAAAAAGUAAUCCACUGCUUUCUGCUGUGCUUAUAAAGUUCUGUGCUUUUUA